ACUAAAAAAGGAAAGAGACAAUAGCUCUGGAAGCUUGAAAAGUCACCAUGGAAGAUAUCUUCAAGCUGGCACUGGAGAUUUUGGAAGCACAAUUUCGCGGUCGAGCAGAUAUUCACCUUAGGAGUUCACUAGUAUCACGAAUACCAUGAAUUCAUAUUUAAUGAAGACUUCUUCUACCACUAAAUUGGGGGUUCCUUUUUUUACCGAUGGGCAACAUCAAAUUCUCAGGGAUUGAUCUUCAACUCUAAGACAUAGUUAGGUUUCCAUUUCUUCAUUCUUAACAGGUUGAGCUCCAGAGGAACUAAUACCACUGCCAAAGAAAUCUGAUCUGAAAUCUAAUUAUGUCAUAUUGGAGAUGCCGACUUCAGGUCUUGCAUAGGAGAAUCUUUCUCUGGAUAAGGAAUAAUGGGGAGAUACGCUUUGUGCUCCAUUGUUGUACAAUCUGAAGACUCUUGAGGGCUUGUAGAUAUCAUCUGUAGUGGUAUAGGGUACUCAACAUUAGCAAUCACAGUGGACUGCUGGACACUGGCACAUAUUAAUUGUUCCCCAUCCUUACUAUCUACUUCUUUAUUACUACUGAUUUGGAUGCUUUGAUUAAUCAUUAGUUGUUUGGUCUCUUGAGCUAACUUCUCAUCCUUGAGAUUUGUAGUCUUGUCCACCUUUUCUAUCUUUGAUUGCUCACCCUGAAUAUCCUCAUGUGUGCUGUAUAUAUUGCUGCUAAUUGAUUUGUUAUCCUGAAUCUCUUGAGCAGUAGAGGAUACUUCAUAGUAUCAAUUUGUUUUUUCAUUGGUAUUUUGAUUUGGCUUUGUUGUACCUCCACCUUGUCUGAUGUUUGCAUUGAGACUGGCUCAUAAUUUUCCACAACUAUUUGAACUUGUUGUGUCUCAUCAGCCAGACAGUCAAAAGCAUUGACAGUCGCCACUAUAUUUUUACCAUUGGAUUCUGCUUCUUUAGUCCUAUCCAUGAUGAAAACUUUUUUAAUUGGACACCAUUUUUUGAUGAACUUUUUAUGUCUCUAGUUAAUCUUCUGAUAUUGAUCUUGAGCCUGACGUUGAGGUAGCUCCCCUUCCUCUUGAACCUUUUUUUCUCUAGCAUAUUUUAAUUCAGGAUGAAUUGUUCUGCAUUCUUCUUCAUUGUGUCCUUGCAGCUUGCAGGUGCGACAAUACUUAGGUAAAAAGUCAUAAUGGAUUUUGAUCUUCUCAAUCCUUGCACUUUUCUUUCCUGGACUAAUCACUUCUAUCUCCAUCCACUCCGGAAUAUUUGCAAUAAGGUCUACCUGAACUUUGACUCUCGCACAACUUGGGUGUGUCUUAUUAAUUGUUGCCAAGUCCAAUUGCACCGGCUUCCCCACAGCCGAUGCUAAUGAGAACAAAGUUUCUUUGCCAUAAAAAGUGGGCAACAGUUGCGGGAAAUAAAUCCAAGACAUUGCUUGAGUAGUCUCCUCCUAUGGUUAGAAUUUGGCAUCAUAGAUUAGCGGCCACAUUUGAUACGUAUAUCCAUCUUUAGCAAUAAUGUAAUAAGUAUUUUUUGACAUUAUGUUAAUAAAAUCUUCCAUCUGGAUUAAUCUGAUUAA